rfam:Paraprevotella clara CAG:116 genomic scaffold, scf142
AGCCGCAUCGGUUAGAUUGGGAUACUCAUCAAUUUAUUUCAGAAAACCGAGAAUGCUUCGCUCACUAAUGGCGGGCCACGCCUUCGGGUAGCUUAAUUGCCGGUGGAUUACAAAGGUGACGGGCGCUCAAAUCUUGUUAGCUCGGAGUUUUCAUCACAUCAUCGGUGCGGCUUUUACC